AGAAUCAACGCUGGCGGCGUGCCUAACACAUGCAAGUCGCACGAGAAAGGGGAGCAAUCCCUGAGUACAGUGGCGCACGGGUGAGUAACACGUGAAUAAUCUACCUCCGAGUGGGGAAUAACUGAGAGAAAUCUUAGCUAAUACCGCAUAAUACCCACGGGUCAAAGCAGCAAUGCGCUUGGAGAGGAGUUCGCGGCAGAUUAGUUAGUUGGCGGGGUAAUGGCCCACCAAGACGAUGAUCUGUAUCCGGCCUGAGAGGGCGCACGGACACACUGGAACUGAAACACGGUCCAGACUCCUACGGGAGGCAGCAGUGGGGAAUUUUGCGCAAUGGGGAAACCCUGACGCAGCAACGCCGCGUGGAGGAUGAAGCCCCGUUGGGGUGUAAACUCCUUUCGAUCGGGAAGAUAAUGACGGUACCGAUAUAAGAAGCCCGGCUAACUUCGUGCCAGCAGCCGC
rnacentral:rRNA from 1 species